UGGGGAAUCUUCCGCAAUGGACGAAAGUCUGACGGAGCAACGCCGCGUGAGUGAUGACGGCCUUCGGGUUGUAAAGCUCUGUUAAUUGGGACGAAAGGUCCUCUUGCGAAUAGUUAGAGGAAUUGACGGUACCGGAAUAGAAAGCCACGGCUAACUACGUGCCAGCAGCCGCGGUAAUACGUAGGCGGCAAGCGUUGUCCGGAAUUAUUGGGCGUAAAGCGCGCGCAGGCGGAUUGGUCAGUCUGUCUUAAAAGUUCGGGGCUUAACCCCGUGAUGGGAUGGAAACUGCCAAUCUAGAGUAUCGGAGAGGAAAGUGGAAUUCCUAGUGUAGCGGUGAAAUGCGUAGAUAUUAGGAAGAACACCAGUGGCGAAGGCGACUUUCUGGACGAAAACUGACGCUGAGGCGCGAAAGCCAGGGGAGCGAACGGGAUUAGAUACCCCGGUAGUCCUGGCCGUAAACGAUGGGUACUAGGUGUAGGAGGUAUCGACCCCUUCUGUGCCGGAGUUAACGCAGUAAGUACCCCGCCUGGGGAGUACGACCGCAAGGUUG
rnacentral:rRNA from 1 species